AUUGAACGCUGGCGGCAUGCCUUACACAUGCAAGUCGAACGGCAGCACGGGAGCAAUCCUGGUGGCGAGUGGCGAACGGGUGAGUAAUAUAUCGGAACGUGCCCAGUCGUGGGGAUAACGUAGCGAAAGCUACGCUAAUACCGCAUACGAUCUAUGGAUGAAAGCGGGGGAUCGCAAGACCUCGCGCGAUUGGAGCGGCCGAUAUCAGAUUAGGUAGUUGGUGAGGUAAAGGCUCACCAAGCCGACGAUCUGUAGCUGGUCUGAGAGGACGACCAGCCACACUGGGACUGAGACACGGCCCAGACUCCUACGGGAGGCAGCAGUGGGGAAUUUUUGGGACAAUGGGCGCAAGCCUGAUCCAGCAAUGCCGCGUGCAGGAUGAAGGCCUCGGUUGUAACUGCUUUUGUACGGUACG
rnacentral:rRNA from 1 species